UAAGCCUGCGAAGGUGGCCUGUGAGGGUUGCUGGAGGUAUCAGAAGUGCGAAUGCUGACAUAAGUAACGAUAAAGCGGGUGAAAAGCCCGCUCGCCGGAAGACCAAGGGUUCCUGUCCAACGUUAAUCGGGGCAGGGUGAGUCGACCCCUAAGGCGAGGCCGAAAGGCGUAGUCGAUGGGAAACGGGUUAAUAUUCCCGUACUUGGUGUUACUGCGAAGGGGGGACGGAGAAGGCUAUGUUGGCCGGGCGACGGUUGUCCCGGUUUAAGCGUGUAGGCUGGUUUUCCAGGCAAAUCCGGAAAAUCAAGGCUGAGGCGUGACGACGAGGCACUACGGUGCUGAAGCAACAAAUGCCCUGCUUCCAGGAAAAGCCUCUAAGCAUCAGGUAACAUCAAAUCGUACCCCAAACCGACACAGGUGGUCAGGUAGAGAAUACCAAGGCGCUUGAGAGAACUCGGGUGAAGGAACUAGGCAAAAUGGUGCCGUAACU
rnacentral:rRNA from 1 species